GCUGGUGACCAGAGCGCGGGGGAAACACCCGUUCCCAUCCCGAACACGGCCGUUAAGCCCCGCUGCGCGGAUGGUACUGCCGGGGCGACCUGGUGGGAGAGUACGUCGUCGCCAGCU
rnacentral:rRNA from 1 species